UGUGGGAGCGAGCUUGCUCGCGAUGGCGGCAGCACAUUCAACAUUUUUGUCGACUGAACUGACGCAAUCGCGAGCAAGCUCGCUCCCACA
rnacentral:misc_RNA from 1 species